rnacentral:rRNA from 1 species
GACGAACGCUGGCGGCGUGCUUAACACAUGCCAGUCGAACGGAAAGGCCCUGCUUGCAGGGUACUCGAGUGGCGAACGGGUGAGUAACACGUGGGUGAUCUGCCCUGCACUUCGGGAUAAGCCUGGGAAACUGGGUCUAAUACCGGAUAGGAGCCAAUUUUAGUGUGAUGGUUGGAAAGUUUUUUCGGUGUAGGAUGAGCUCGCGGCCUAUCAGCUUGUUGGUGGGGUAAUGGCCUACCAAGGCGGCGACGGGUAGCCGGCCUGGGAGGGUGGACGGCCACAUUGGGACUGAGAUACGGCCCAGACUCCUACGGGAGGCAGCAGUGGGGAAUAUUGCACAAUGGGCGCAAGCCUGAUGCAGCGACGCCGCGUGGGGGAUGACGGCCUUCGGGUUGUAAACUCCUUUCGCUAGGGACGAAGCUUUUUGUGACGGUACCUAGAUAAGAAGCACCGGCUAACUACGUG